AUUUAAUAUAUACACCUAGACAGUGUACGUGUGUGUGUGUGUGUGUAUAUAUACACACACACACACGUACACUGUCUAGGUGUAUAUA
rnacentral:miRNA from 1 species